UUUCUAAGGAGGAGCAGGGCCGGGCUUUGUCCAACCAGUGGGCCCCAGAGCUUCAGGAGAGCAGCCUUCGACCUCGUCGGCUGUGGUGCUGCCCUGCGUGGCUCCCCGUCCCACGCAGUGGUUGAAAUGACUAGUGUGGAGCUUGGCUGCAGCAGAUCCCGUCCAGAACAGGAGUUAAGAGCCAUCGGAAGAGUGACGGGAGAAGACACUGGGAUCUCUCCCAUCCAUUUAGCCCUCUCAGAGCUUGUUCCUGGUGCCUAAUAUUUCACCAUUAGGGUCCUGGGUGGCCUCCUGUGCUGUUGCCUCUACUGUACCUGUUAACUGGGCAGCCCUGUCCAAGCUCAUUAACUUCUCUGAGCCCCAGUUUUCCCACUGUGAAAUGAAGACAACACUGGAAAGACAGAGUGGUUUUGAGGGAUGAAUGUAAAAGCCACUGGGAUAAACUUUGUAAGCUGCUGAGCACGGUGCCCACAUGAGGCCCAGGGGAUCGUGCCCACGGCCUGGGAGCUUCAGGGGAUCACAGCCACAUCUUCAAGGGCAGGAAGACAACCUGCCCUGCGAUAACUUGGCUCUGGGGACAGGGACCUCGAUUGUCAAGAGUGAUUUUCAAAGAUCUUCAGAGAGAACAGCAAAGCUGGCUUUCAUCUCUUGUUGCAGGCCCUGUCCCCUGGGAGGCUGGCA
rnacentral:lncRNA from 1 species